GCCAGUGUGAUGUUGUGGUAUGAACGCUGGACUAUAACUCUGGAGACUAAAGUUCAAAUCCUUGCUCAGCCA